AGAACGAACGCUGGCGGCAGGCUUAACACAUGCAAGUCGAACGCAUCCUUCGGGAUGAGAGGCAGACGGGUGAGUAACGCGUGGGAACGUACCUUUCGGUUCGGAAUAACCCAGGGAAACUUGGGCUAAUACCGGAUACGCCGGAAACGGGAAAGAUUCAUUGCCGAAAGAUCGGCCCGCGUCGGAUUAGCUAGUUGGUGGGUAACGCCUACAAGGCGACGAUCCGUAGCUGGUCUGAGAGGAUGAUCAGCCACACUGGGACUGAGACACGGCCCAGACUCCUACGGGAGCAGCAGGUGGGAAUAGUGGACAAGUGGGCGCAAGCCUGAUCCAGCCAUGCCGCGUGAGUGAAGAAGGUCUUAGGGUAGUAAACGCUACGUUCGAGG
rnacentral:rRNA from 1 species